UGAGGAAUAUUGGUCAAUGGGGGCAACCCUGAACCAGCCAAGUCGCGUGAAGGAUGAAGGUCUUAUGGAUUGUAAACUUCUUUUACACGGGAAUAAAGUGGGGGACGUGUCCCCCUUUGCAUGUACCGUGUGAAUAAGGAUCGGCUAACUCCGUGCCAGCAGCCGCGGUAAUACGGAGGAUCCGAGCGUUAUCCGGAUUUAUUGGGUUUAAAGGGUGCGCAGGCGGGAUGUUAAGCCGGCGGUGAAAUUUUGCAGCUCAACUGUAAAAGUGCCUUCGAUACUGGCCUCCUUGAGUGUGGAUGAAGUAGGCGGAAUUUGUGGUGUAGCGGUGAAAUGCUUAGAUAUCACGAGGAACUCCGAUUGCGCAGGCAGCUUACUAAGCCACAACUGACGCUCAUGCACGAAGGCGUGGGGAUCAAACA
rnacentral:rRNA from 1 species